CAAGGAAUCAUCAUAUUUACGAAAGUUGCUAUUAUAGUGUUGAUAUAUAAUACUAAAAUAUUAAAAGUUGUCACCUAAUGAUACAAUUUUUCAUCAAUCUUGUAGCUUAACACGCAACAUCAUUAACCAGAUCCAAUUUGUGAGAAUGAUGUUCGUAUGCAGCAUCUUCUCUGUCCAACAAAGGAAACAAAGCCAGCUCUAGAACAACAUAGCUAUAUCAGGCCCAAAGCUGCACAUACUUUUUGAGCCAAAAUUGAAUUAGGCCUCUCUAGUAUACAGAUCUCCAGGGAUAAACCUCUUCUCUCCGAUGUUGCACAACGCUCAGCUUAUUCACAUGUCUACAGUUGGGAAUAAAGAAAGUCUUCUGCCAUCAUCAUUUGCCCAUUUGGAGACACACCUAUGUGAAUAAAAUUAAAAAAAGAAAAGAAAAGGCCCCUACAUAAAUUGGCGAUUCUUUUUCUUUUUUGAGUGUAUGAAAUCAAAUUUAUGCUGCCCUAAUGCUAGAGGAUUGUGUAGGGAUUCAUGCUAGUCAAGCUUUGAUGAGAAUCAUGUGCUAGAAGAGACUAAAGCACAAGAGCUAGAGGGCCCUGGAGGCUUUGGCAAAUCCAUUAUUCAUGCCAUUGAGCAAACUACAUGUGCAGACCCCAAAAUACUUGGGGGCUUCGUGCCAAGCAAAAUUUUUCAACAAAAUAAAGAGCCAAAC
rnacentral:lncRNA from 1 species